CCUUGGUAAUGGUGAAGAGGGUUAUUCUAGUAGACCUUUGUUCAAGACAAUAACCCGAAGGUCAAGUAUGAGUAAAAUGAACCUUUGAGCCAUAUACAAAAGUGGGCCUUUGGGCUAGAUACAGAAGAGAGCAUUCAGGUUGGAUACGCGAAUGAGCCCUGAAACCGGUUAUGAGCCUUCGAACAAAAUAAGUUGUGAAACACAUACCAAAUUUAGAAAUGGUUUCAUUAAACACGUAACAUGCAUAUGAAAGGAACAUGAAAUUGUUG
rnacentral:lncRNA from 1 species